rnacentral:rRNA from 1 species
CACAUGCAGUCGAGGGGCAUCGGGAUUGAAGCUUGCUUCAAUUGCCGGCGACCGGCGCACGGGUGCGUAACGCGUAUGUAACCUACCUAUAACAGGGGCAUAACACUGAGAAAUUGGUACUAAUUCCCCAUAAUAUUCGGAGAGGCAUCUCUCCGGGUUGAAAACUCCGGUGGUUAUAGAUGGACAUGCGUUGUAUUAGCUAGUUGGUGAGGUAACGGCUCACCAAGGCAACGAUACAUAGGGGGACUGAGAGGUUAACCCCCCACACUGGUACUGAGACACGGACCAGACUUCUACGGGAGGCAGCAGUGAGGAAUAUUGGUCAAUGGACGCAAGUCUGAACCAGCCAUGCCGCGUGCAGGAAGACGGCUCUAUGAGUUGUAAACUGCUUUUGUACGAGGGUAAACUCACCUACGUGUAGGUGACUGAAAGUAUCGUACGAAUAAGGAUCGGCUAACUCCGUGCCAGCAGCCGCGGUAAUACGGAGGAUUCAAGCGUUAUCCGGAUUUAUUGGGUUUAAAGGGUGCGUAGGCGGUUUGAUAAGUUAGAGGUGAAGUCCCGGGGCUUAACUCCGGAACUGCCUCUAAUACUGUUAGACUAGAGAGUAGUUGCGGUAGGCGGAAUGUAUGGUGUAGCGGUGAAAUGCUUAGAGAUCAUACAGAACACCGAUUGCGAAGGCAGCUUACCAAACUAUAUCUGACGUUGAGGCACGAAAGCGUGGGGAGCAAACAGGAUUAGAUACCCUGGUAGUCCACGCAGUAAACGAUGAUAACUCGUUGUCGGCGAUACACAGUCGGUGACUAAGCGAAAGCAAUAAGUUAUCCACCUGGGGAGUACGUUCGCAAGAAUGAAACUCAAGGA